rnacentral:rRNA from 1 species
UCGAGGGGCAGCGGGGCGGCAGGCUUGCCUGCCGUUGCCGGCGACCGGCGCACGGGUGAGUAACACGUAUGCAACCUGCCCGUGGCAGGGGGAUAAGCGGGGGAAACCCCGUCUAAUACCGCGUAACGCGGCCUAGGGACAUCCCAAGGCCGCCAAAGGGAGCAAUCCCGGCCACGGAUGGGCAUGCGGCGCAUUAGCUAGUCGGCGGGGUAACGGCCCACCGAGGCGACGAUGCGUAGGGGUUCUGAGAGGAAGGCCCCCCACACUGGUACUGAGACACGGACCAGACUCCUACGGGAGGCAGCAGUGAGGAGUAUUGGUCAAUGGGCGCGAGCCUGAACCAGCCAAGUCGCGUGAGGGAGGACGGCCCUACGGGUUGUAAACCUCUUUUGCCGGGGAGCAACGGGCGUCACGUGUGGCGCCACUGAGAGUACCCGGAGAAAAAGCAUCGGCUAACUCCGUGCCAGCAGCCGCGGUAAUACGGAGGAUGCGAGCGUUAUCCGGAUUUAUUGGGUUUAAAGGGUGCGUAGGCGGAUCGUUAAGUCAGUGGUCAAAUUGAGGGGCUCAACCCCUUCCCGCCAUUGAAACUGGCGUUCUUGAGUGGAAGAGAAGUAUGCGGAAUGCGUGGUGUAGCGGUGAAAUGCAUAGAUAUCACGCAGAACCCCGAUUGCGAAGGCAGCAUGCCGGCUUCCGACUGACGCUGAAGCACGAAAGC